GUGGGGAAUCUUCCGCAAUGGACGAAAGUCUGAUGGAGCAACGCCGCGUGAGUGAAGAAGGGUUUCGGCUCGUAAAGCUCUGUUGUCGGGGACGAAUGUGCAGUAUUUGAAUAAAGUAGUGCAAUGACGGUACCUGACGAGGAAGCCACGGCUAACUACGUGCCAGCAGCCGCGGUAAUACGUAGGUGACAAGCGUUGUCCGGAAUUAUUGGGCGUAAAGGGAGCGCAGGCGGGAAGGUAAGUCGGUCUUAAAAGUGCGGGGCUCAACCCCGUGAUGGGAUCGAAACUAUCUUUCUUGAGUGCAGGAGAGGAAAGUGGAAUUCCUAGUGUAGCGGUGAAAUGCGUAGAUAUUAGGAGGAACACCAGUGGCGAAGGCGACUUUCUGGACUGUAACUGACGCUGAGGCUCGAAAGCCAGGGGAGCGAACGGGAUUAGAAACCCCUGUAGUCC
rnacentral:rRNA from 1 species